AAACGUGUUAGCUCAGGGACGAAAACAAUGUUUUUCAAAACAAAGACCAGAACGUGUAUGGCCCUUUGUUUCUAAUAUUAGGAGAAUAACCAGCGGCCGGGACGGAACGGAGCAGCGAGGCCACGGAACACAUUACUGUUUCCGGCUGCGACGAUAAAGAGGGUCUCAUCAAUCUGGAACACCGAAACGCCGAAUAGUUCGCGCAGCUAGCUUAGAAGUCCAAGAAGUACCUACUGGCGGGAAUGACGUUCCAUUAAAUUUUCAUCUGGCCUCGUUCACUGACGGAGGUCGUGAAAGUGGUGGCGGCGGAUGGGGACUUCCGGAUAGUGGUCGCAGUAGCAAUUCGAUCUCUUCGUCUCGUUACGGUCAGUUCUCCUCGGCCAGUAUCAAAAAUUACGCCAAAACGUUCGACCAGAUCGAGAUCACUUGCCAAAAUCUGUUUUGUCCAUUUCGAAAAAGAAGGAAUCGGAUCCCAAAACCCUGCUGCCCCCGCUUCUUCAACUCUUUCAUGGAGGAAACCCUGCGGACACACUCAGGUCGUACGUCGCCAACGGGCGUCUACCCGACUUCGGCAGCAACGACGUCCUACCCCCGCAAACGACUAUGUCGGGAAUCAACCCAUCUGACGACGUCCUAAACAACCUGGCAAUGAUGUCAAUUGCUGGUGACGAUUGCGGGACUGACCACAUAAGCAAGGUCGACGACAUAAGCGCCAACACUUCGUGCCGUAGUCGGAGCGGUCGAUGGUUUUUUGUUCAAAACAAAAAUAUGCUGGCCCUUGACACGAUCAUAAAACUAGGUGGCUGUGAUUGCUGCGACGAGGAGGAGGAAGGGUUUGGUGAAGAACCGAUAGAAGCAGUUUCCAAGAAGAAUCUGCUACCGGAAGCCGCGGCGGCCGAUACAAGUCAGCGCUGUUCCGGAAUCGAAAAAUGAACAUCGAGCGUGCUGGUCGACAUAAAAACGAAGUCGGUUGAGUUGCCUACGGAGUUUAUCAAUUUUUACAUAAGUAACUGUAAUUCGUCAUGUGAUGAGUAAAAGAAUGCUAAUUUUUCAAUA
rnacentral:lncRNA from 1 species